ensembl:snRNA U1 U1 spliceosomal RNA
AUACUUACCUGGCAGGGGAGAUACCAUAAUCACAAGGGUGGUUUUGCUAGGGCAAGGCUUAUCUAUUGCACUCUGGAUGUGCUGACCCCUGCAAUUUCCCCAAAUGUGGGAAACUGGACUGCAUAAUUUGUGGUAGUGUGGGACUGUGUUCACACUUUCCCUUC